rnacentral:rRNA from 1 species
GAUGAACGCUGGCGGCGUGCCUAAUACAUGCAAGUCGAGCGAACAGACGAGGAGCUUGUUCCUCUGACGUUAGCGGCGAACGGGUGAGUAACACGUGGAUAACCUACCUAUAAGACUGGGAUAACUUCGGGAAACCGGAGCUAAUACCGGAUAAUAACUUUAAACACAUGGUUUAAUAGUGAAAGACGGAUUUGCAGUCACCUAUGAUUGGAUCCGCUCCGCUUUAGCUAGUUGGUAAGGUAACGGCUUACCAAGGGAACGAUGCGUGGCCGACCUGGAGGGGUGAUCGGCCACACGGGAACUGGGACACGGUCCAGACUCCUACGGGAGGCAGAAGUAGGGAACCUUCGGCAAUGGGCGAAAUCCUGACGGAGCAAGGCCGCGUGGGUGAGGAAGUUCUUCGAUUCUAAAAACUCUGUUAUUAGGGAAGAACAAAUGUGUAAGUAACUAUGCACGACGUGACGGUACCUAAUCAGAAAGACACGGCUAACUACGUG